rnacentral:tRNA from 1 species
GCGCCCGUAGCUCAACUGGAUAGAGCGUCUGACUACGGAUCAGAAGGUUAGUGGUUCGAAUCCUCUCGGGCGCG